rnacentral:rRNA from 1 species
CCUACGGGAGGCUGCAGUGAGGAAUAUUGGUCAAUGGCCGUAAGGCUGAACCAGCCAAGUCGCGUGAAGGAAGAAGGAUCUAUGGUUUGUAAACUUCUUUUAUAGGGGAAUAAAGGUAUCCACGUGUGGAUAUUUGCAUGUACCCUAUGAAUAAGCAUCGGCUAACUACGUGCCAGCGGCGGCGGUAAUAUGGAGGAUGCGCGCGUUAUACGGAUUUAUUGGGUGUAAAGGGUGCGUAGGUUGGUAUGUAAGACAGAGGUGAAAGUUUGUGGCUCAACCAUAGGAGUGCCGUUGAAACUGGAGGGCUUGAGUGUAGGUGAGGUAGGCGGAAUGCGUGGUGUAGCGGUGAAAUGCGUAGAUAUCAGGAAGAACUCCGGUGGCGAAGGCAGCUUACUGGACUGUAACUGACGCUGAGGCACGAAAGCGUGGGGAGCAAACAGGAUUAGAUACCCGAGUAGUC